UUCUUGGAUCAAAAUGAUUCACAAGAUGACGAGCGUGGCAAUCUCGGCGGGCUCGCUAAAGUCAGGGGAAGGAGAGAAACAAUGGGGAAGGGAGCAUAACAUGGAUGUGGGGCAGGAGGGGCCGUGGUCGGAGCGGCAUUGCGUGGGCAUAUUGGGUAUUAUUUGAGCUGAUACUCCAUUUUCUUACAAGAGAUGUGGUCCCGUCGAUGUUGGCUGUCGAAUUUGUGCUGCAGUCCAUGCCCACCACGUCCGAGUCUUCGCCCCUUUGUCAUCCAACACGAACAGC